GGGGAUGUAGCUCAGUGGUAGAGCGUUCGCUUUGCGUGUGAAAGGCCCGGGGGUUCGAUCCCCCGCAUCUCCA
rnacentral:tRNA from 1 species